rnacentral:rRNA from 1 species
AUUGAACGCUGGCGGCAUGCCUUACACAUGCAAGUCGAACGGCAGCACGGGAGCAAUCCUGGUGGCGAGUGGCGAACGGGUGAGUAAUAUAUCGGAACGUGCCCAGUCGUGGGGGAUAACGUAGCGAAAGCUACGCUAAUACCGCAUACGAUCUACGGAUGAAGGCGGGGGAUCGCAAGACCUCGCGCGAUUGGAGCGGCCGAUAUCAGAUUUAGCUAGUUGGUGGGGUAAAAGCUCACCAAGGCGACGAUCUGUAGCUGGUCUGAGAGGACGACCAGCCACACUGGAACUGAGACACGGUCCAGACUCCUACGGGAGGCAGCAGUGGGGAAUUUUGGACAAUGGGCGCAAGCCUGAUCCAGCAAUGCCGCGUGCAGGAUGAAGGCCUUCGGGUUGUAAACUGCUUUUGUACGGAACGAAACGGUGAGCUCUAAUAAAGCUUGCUAAUGACGGUACCGUAAGAAUAAGCACCGGCUAACUACGUG